rnacentral:rRNA from 5 species
AACCUGCGGGAAGGGAUCAUUA